GCGGUAAUUCCAGCUCCAAUAGCGUAUAUGUAAAUUGUUGCGGUUGAAAAGCUCGUAGUUGGACUUCUGGCGUCCGCAUUCUGUCCACCUUGCGUGACGACGGUUUGCAGGCGUCGUUUUGUCGACGGUGCGUGUCGGACUUGAUUGGCCGGUGCGCUCUCUGUCGGCGACGUUACUUUGAGGAAAUCAGAGUGCUCAAAGCAAGCGUUUGCUCGUGACUUCACUAGCAUGGAAUAACACAGAUGGGCUCUUUUUCGCAACGUUGGUCUGCGUCAACUGAGCAACGAUCGAUAGAGACGGUCGGGGGCAUUCGUAUUGCGCAGUUAGAGGUGAAAUUCUCCGAUCUGCGCAAGACGCACUAAUGCGAAAGCAGUUGCCAAGGACGUUCUCUUAUGAUCAAGAGCGAAAGUCGGGGGAUCAAAGAUGAUUAGAUACCGUCGUAGUCCCGACCAUAAAUGAUGCCAACUGAGCGUCGGCGACGCGGCUGUCAGCCGGACGUCGGCGCUCUUGAGAGAAAUUAAAGUCUU
rnacentral:rRNA from 1 species